rnacentral:rRNA from 1 species
GACGAACGCUGGCGGCGUGCCUAAUACAUGCAAGUAGAACGCACAGUUUAUACCGUAGCUUGCUACACCAUAGACUGUGAGUUGCGAACGGGUGAGUAACGCGUAGGUAACCUGCCUGGUAGCGGGGGAUAACUAUUGGAAACGAUAGCUAAUACCGCAUAAUAUUGAUUAUUGCAUGAUAAUUGAUUGAAAGAUGCUAUUGCAUCACUACCAGAUGGACCUGCGUUGUAUUAGCUAGUAGGUGAGGUAACGGCUCACCUAGGCGACGAUACAUAGCCGACCUGGGAGGGUGGUCGGCCACACUGGGACUGGGACACGGGCCAGACUCCUUCGGGAGGCAGCAGGAGGGAAUCUUCGGCAAUGGACGAAAGUCUGACCGGGCAACGCCGCGUGAGUGAAGGAGGUUUUCGGAUCGUAAAGCUCUGUUGUAAGAGAAGGACGGGUGUGAGAGUGGAAAGUUCACACUGUGACGGUAUCUUACCAGAAAGGGACGGCUAACUACGUG